rnacentral:rRNA from 1 species
GACGAACGCUGGCGGCGCGCCUAACACAUGCAAGUCGAACGAGCGAGAGAGAGCUUGCUUUCUUGAGCGAGUGGCGAACGGGUGAGUAACGCGUGAGGAACCUGCCUCAAAGAGGGGGACAACAGUUGGAAACGACUGCUAAUACCGCAUAAGCCCACGACCCGGCCUCGGGUUGAGGGAAAAGGAGCAAUCCGCUUUGAGAUGGCCUCGCGUCCGAUUAGCUAGUUGGUGAGGUAACGGCCCACCAAGGCGACGAUCGGUAGCCGGACUGAGAGGUUGAACGGCCACAUUGGGACUGAGACACGGCCCAGACUCCUACGGGAGGCAGCAGUGGGGAAUAUUGCAAAAUGGGGGAAACCCUGAUGCAGCGACGACGCGUGGAGGAAGAAGGUCUUCGGAUUGUAAACUCCUGUUGUUGAGGAAGAUAAUGACGGUACUCAACAAGGAAGUGACGGCUAACUACGUG